ACUUUCUAAAAUAAUUUUAUUAUACUUCUAACUUUUUUUCCUUUAAUUAUAUAUUCCUUAAGAUCAAGCAUCUAUAUUAUAUGUUUUACUUGAUUUAUUUAAAACUCAAACUAUUAACUCCAUGUUUAUCAAAAUUCUUAAUUAAUUUAUAAGUCGGUAACUAAAAUUUACUUUAAUUUAUUAAAACCUUCUAAUCAUAAUCAACAUUUAUAAAAUAUAUUGGAAAAUAUCCAAAAUCAGAUUAACUGGCCAUUAAAUGCCGAAAAUUAGCUAAUUUUCUAGAAAAAUAACCAAAAAUAGUUAUAAUACCCUAAAAUACAGCACUGCCAACAAUAGCUUGUCAGAGUUCAUGAAUACGAUGGUCGGUGAAGCUGUCAACGACGGGAAAAGGACCAAAUCGACUAGCCUUCAGCAAGUCUCACCGGAAAACGGACUAAGGACAAUGGUUAGCGGGAUUGUCCCGAUCGCAAACCACGACUGCAGCCCGUUACGCUUGCUGUGCCGGUUGGAAACAAACAAAGAGAGAGAAAUAGAAUUUGCGUUGUUAACGAGGAAGGGUACUGGAGCCGUUCGAUCGUGAUGGUGUUGCGGAAAUGGACGGAGGCGCUGCUGCGUCGUUCUCUUUGCGAAGAGGAGCCCGCAGCUCGCCUGUCUGCUGCUUUCACUGGAGACGGAAACUGAGAAAGAGAUGGUAAUUAACGGCGGCGCUGCUGGCUCAGGUGGCAACCGAAAGACAGAGAGAGAGAGAGAGGAGGCGGACUGCCGCUGGAUCGAUAAAGAAGAAAGAAAACAGAAAAAAAAAAAAGCUUCUUUACAACAUUCUAGGGUUUCCUAUGAUAAUUCGGUUCGAUUUGAGUCGAGUUUGAUCCAAUUCAAGAAUUGGGUCUGCUUUCCACUUGAUGUACAGGUUUUUAUUUGGUUUGAAAGUUUUAAAUUGGUUUAAGGAUUCGGUUUAGCAAUAAUAAUUUUUUUUUAAAAUUUUAUUAUACAAUCCUAUUGGUUGGAAUUAAAAUUAUGAAAAAUUUAUGAAAUUGUAUUUUUGGUUAUUCCGUUCAUUAUCAAAAUUGAAUAAAAUUAUAUUUCCCCUAUUCAA
rnacentral:lncRNA from 1 species